UUUAUCGGAGAGUUUGAUCCUGGCUCAGGACGAACGCUGGCGGCGUGCCUAAUACAUGCAAGUCGAGCGGACAGAUGGGAGCUUGCUCCCUGAUGUUAGCGGCGGACGGGUGAGUAACACGUGGGUAACCUGCCUGUAAGACUGGGAU
rnacentral:rRNA from 1 species